rnacentral:rRNA from 1 species
UAGGGAAUCUUCGGCAAUGGACGAAAGUCUGACCGAGCAACGCCGCGUGAGUGAAGAAGGUUUUCGGAUCGUAAAACUCUGUUGUUAGAGAAGAACAAGGACGUUAGUAACUGAACGUCCCCUGACGGUAUCUAACCAGAAAGCCACGGCUAACUACGUGCCAGCAGCCGCGGUAAUACGUAGGUGGCAAGCGUUGUCCGGAUUUAUUGGGCGUAAAGCGAGCGCAGGCGGUUUCUUAAGUCUGAUGUGAAAGCCCCGGGCUCAACCUGGGAACUGCAUCUGAUACUGGCAAGCUUGAGUCUCGUAGAGGGGGGUAGAAUUCCAGGUGUAGCGGUGAAAUGCGUAGAGAUCUGGAGGAAUACCGGUGGCGAAGGCGGCCCCCUGGACGAAGACUGACGCUCAGGUGCGAAAGCGUGGGGAGCAAACAGG